rnacentral:rRNA from 1 species
AUUGAACGCUGGCGGCAGGCCUAACACAUGCAAGUCGAGCGCGCGGCGGACGGGUGAGUAAUGUCUGGGAAACUGCCUGAUGGAGGGGGAUCACUACUGGACACGGUAUCUAAUACCGCAUCCCAUCAGCUGUGCCCAGAUGGGAUUAGCUAGUAGGUGGGGUAAUGGCUCACCUAGGCGACGAUCCAUAGCUGGUCUGAGAGGAUGACCGGCCACACUGGAACUGAGACACGGCCCAGACUCCUACGGGAGGCAGCAGUGGGGAAUAUUGGACAAUGGGCGAAAGCCUGAUGCAGCCAUGCCGCGUGUAUGAAGAAGGCCUUCGGGUUGUAAAGUACUUUAAGCGGGGAGGCGGUACCCGAAGAAGAAGCACCGGCUAACUCCGUGCCAGCAGCCGCGGUAAUAC